rnacentral:rRNA from 1 species
UAAAACCAGCACCUCAAGUGGUCAGGAGGAUUAUUGGGCCUAAAGCAUCCGUAGCCGGCUCUGUAAGUUUUCGGUUAAAUCCAUGUGCUCAACGCAUGGGCUGCCGAAAAUACUGCAAAGCUAGGGAGUGGGAGAGGUAGACGGUACUCAGUAGGAAGGGGUAAAAUCCUUUGAUCUAUUGAUGACCACCUGUGGCGAAGGCGGUCUACCAGAACACGUUCGACGGUGAGGGAUGAAAGCUGGGGGAGCAAACCGGAUUAGAUACCCGGGUAGUCCCAGCUGUAAACGAUGCAGACUCGAUGAUGCAAUGGCAUAGAGCUAUUGCAGUAUCGCAGGGAAGCCGUUAAGUCUGCCGCCUGGGAAGUACGUACGCAAGUAUG